AAGUCGUAACAAGGUUUCCGUAGGUGAACCUGCGGAAGGAUCAUUAACACAUCCUUUUCAAUAUAAACCAUGGCGCAUAGUCGAACCUCUCUGGGGGAAGCUUCGCAUUAGGAAGGUCCGGACGCCUGCCUUCGGGAGUGGGCGUUGCCUAAUCGGAUAUGCACCCGACCGAUCGUCCGUUAGUAUUCAUUUAUUAGCGGGCCCCAUCCUCGAGGUGCCAGCAUCCAUCUGGUCCAGGUAUAACUGUCUCCCACCUGACAGGAAAACAAAACCUUUUUUUAACCUCUUGAAUUUUGUACUGAUUUGGUUUUGGAUGAGAGGGGCAACCUUCUCUCUGGAGCCUGAUGGAGUUUUACAUUUCAUCAUUAAACAAAUCAAAACACAACUCUUAACAGCGGAUAUCUCGGUUCUC
rnacentral:misc_RNA from 1 species